rnacentral:lncRNA from 1 species
GGUAGUGCACGACUCGUUAAAGCAAAUCCUCUCAGCGGCAACUCAUCGAGUAAUAGUGCAACAAAUAUUUACGUAAGAUUCAGAAAUGUUGAAACGGCUGUGUCAAGUGUUAAGAGGCUAAAUGCGUGGACAAAUGCUCGCUGAUAGAGUCACACGGCAGCGGUCAAACACGCCCUACAGUACAAGGCGGGAGUCACGAUCCGCGGGUACACGGUGCGCCAGGUGCGUGUGGAAGAGUUCGUUGCAUUGGGGGGCCAGUGCAAAUGGCUUUUUCGCUUAUUCAAGUUGAAGAAAUCAAAGAACUGCACCUCGCUGCUGUUGGGCUUUUGGAUGAAAAAACAGGCGCGGACAUUUCUCCACAUCGCCUGUACGAUCACACCCGCAGGAGGGAUGGAGGCUUGAGCAUACUGAAUCCCAAGGACAAAUCUUCACGCAUUGCCAUCAAAGGAGUCGUAUACAAAGAAAUGAAAGGAGUCUGUAUGCUGAAUCGACGCAGCUUCCAGGUGCGACGGUUUCGCGUUUGCCAAGAUGCGGAAGGGAAAAGCCGCAAAGUAAGUAAACUUUUACGCUGAGUGGUGUGUUAUGUCGUAUUUAACUGUUGCUAAUAAGCUGUUUAUGUGUUCUCUUUUUCAGCCUAAACCAACGUGGCUAAAACGCGGGACUCUUUUUCAGAAGCGCUCUCACUUGUGCGCACUUUGCCUCCGUAACUUUCCCUUCAUUGCCACAGAAAGUUGUCUGCGAGUAUAGUAACCCUCUUUGCCAAGUUGACGUGCAACUGGCUGCCUUUGACCGUUGGCUCUUCUUUAACCCUUUGCGGUCUGUUGUCGGGCAGGGCCAACGCAACACGGUCGUAGCAGUCCGCUUUCGGGCACCGCCCGACAAGGGUGUUCGGGGGUUAAAUUUCACGGUUUUUCUCACUGCGAUUCGUGCGCAUUUUUUGUAUACAUGAUGCGCCAUCUCUUGAGGGAU